AGCCCUUGACAUGCCCAGGACGGUUACCAGAGAUGGUUUCCUCUCUUCGGAGCCUGGGACACAGGUGCUGCAUGGCUGUCGUCAGCUCGUGUCGUGAGAUGUUGGGUUAAGUCCCGCAACGAGCGCAACCCCCGUCCUUAGUUGCUACCAUUCAGUUGAGCACUCUAAGGAGACUGCCGGUGAUAAGCCGCGAGGAAGGUGGGGAUGACGUCAAGUCCUCAUGGCCCUUACGGGCUGGGCUACACACGUGCUACAAUGGCGGUGACAAUGGGAUGCAAAGGCGCAAGCCCCAGCAAAUCUCAAAAAGCCGUCUCAGUUCGGAUUGUGCUCUGCAACUCGAGCACAUGAAGUCGGAAUCGCUAGUAAUCGCAGAUCAGCACGCUGCGGUGAAUACGUUCCCGGGCC
rnacentral:rRNA from 1 species